UACGGAGGGUCCAAGCGUUAUCCGGAAUCAUUGGGUUUAAAGGGUCCGUAGGCGGGUCUUUAAGUCAGAGGUGAAAUCUCCCGGCUCAACCGGGGAAUGGCCUUUGAUACUGCAGGUCUUGAAUUAUUGGGAAGUAACUAGAAUAUGUAGUGUAGCGGUGAAAUGCUUAGAGAUUACAUGGAAUACCAAUUGCGAAGGCAGGUUACUAUCAAUAUAUUGACGCUGAUGGACGAAAGCGUGGGUAGCGAACAGG
rnacentral:rRNA from 1 species